rnacentral:rRNA from 1 species
CACACUGCCGAGAAAAGCCUCUAGAUAGAAAAUAGGUGCCCGUACCGCAAACCGACACAGGUAGUCAAGAUGAGAAUUCUAAGGUGAGCGAGCGAACUCUCGUUAAGGAACUCGGCAAAAUGACCCCGUAACUUCGGGAGAAGGGGUGCUCUUUAGGGUUAACGCCCAGAAGAGCCGCAGUGAAUAGGCCCAAGCGACUGUUUAUCAAAAACACAGGUCUCUGCUAAACCGUAAGGUGAUGUAUAGGGGCUGACGCCUGCCCGGUGCUGGAAGGUUAAGAGGAGUGGUUAGCUUCUGCGAAGCUACGAAUCGAAGCCCCAGUAAACGGCGGCCGUAACUAUAACGGUCCUAAGGUAGCGAAAUUCCUUGUCGGGUAAGUUCCGACCCGCACGAAAGGCGUAACGAUUUGGGCACUGUCUCAACGAGAGACUCGGUGAAAUCAUAGUACCUGUGAAGAUGCAGGUUACCCGCGACAGGACGGAAAGACCCCGUGGAGCUUUACUGUAGCCUGAUAUUGAAAUUCGGCACAGCUUGUACAGGAUAGGUAGGAGCCUUUGAAACGUGAGCGCUAGCUUACGUGGAGGCGCUGGUGGGAUACUACCCUAGCUGUGUUGGCUUUCUAACCCGCACCACUUAUCGUGGUGGGAGACAGUGUCAGGCGGGCAGUUUGACUGGGGCGGUCGCCUCCUAAAAGGUAACGGAGGCGCUCAAAGGUUCCCUCAGAAUGGUUGGAAAUCAUUCAUAGAGUGUAAAGGCAUAAGGGAGCUUGACUGCGAGACCUACAAGUCGAGCAGGGUCGAAAGACGGACUUAGUGAUCCGGUGGUUCCGCAUGGAAGGGCCAUCGCUCAACGGAUAAAAGCUACCCCGGGGAUAACAGGCUUAUCUCCCCCAAGAGUUCACAUCGACGGGGAGGUUUGGCACCUCGAUGUCGGCUCAUCGCAUCCUGGGGCUGUAGUCGGUCCCAAGGGUUGGGCUGUUCGCCCAUUAAAGCGGUACGCGAGCUGGGUUCAGAACGUCGUGAGACAGUUCGGUCCCUAUCCGUCGUGGGCGUAGGAAAUUUGAGAGGAGCUGUCCUUAGUACGAGAGGACCGGGAUGGACAUACCUCUGGUGUACCAGUUGUCGUGCCAACGGCAUAGCUGGGUAGCUAUGUGUGGACGGGAUAAGUGCUGAAAGCAUCUAAGCAUGAAGCCCCCCUCAAGAUGAGAUUUCCCAACUUCGGUUAUAAGAUCCCUCAAAGAUGAUGAGGUUAAUAGGUUCGAGGUGGAAGCAUGGUGACAUGUGGAGCUGACGAAUACUAAUCGAUCGAAGACUUAAUCAA